AGCGAACGCUGGCGGCAGGCCUAACACAUGCAAGUCGAACGGAUCCUUCGGGAUUAGUGGCGGACGGGUGAGUAACCCGUGGGAACGUGCCCUUUGGUUCGGAACAACUCAGGGAAACUUGCGCUAAUACCUGAUUUUCCUUUCGGGGGAAAGAUUUAUCGCCGUUGGAGCUGCCCGCGUAUGAUUAGCUAGUUGUUGAGGUAACGGCCCACCAAGGCGACGAUCAGUAGCUGGAUUGAGAGGAUGAUCAGCGACACUGGGACUGAGACACGGCCCAGACUCCUGCGAGAGGCAGCAGAGGGGAAACUAGCGCAAUAGGCGAAAGCCUGAGGCAGCCAGGCCGCGAGAAUGAUGAAGGUGUUAGGAUUGUAAAAUUCUUUCAGCGAGGACGAUAAUGACGGUACCUGCAGAAGAAGCUCCGGCUAACUUCGUG
rnacentral:rRNA from 1 species